UUCAUUAGCAUUUCUACACCUUUUAUGAGAAAUUGAAUCAGAAUUUUUGUAGUUCCUCCUGACAUUUUCCUCACUGCAAGGAUUUGGUAGCUGAUGUUUGGAAGAAAAACCAUAAUUACUCUACAGCAGCCUCUAAUUGCAGCUCUAGGAAAGUUCCAUUUCUUUGGUUCGACUCCAAUGUCCUGAGUAUGAGAUUGAUUGUCUACAAAUUCAAAAUUGAGACCAAUAUAUGAAGGAUUAGUAUAAUUGAUUAGUAAGGUCUAAAUCAGUGAAUUUUCGUCUCUAAGGUCAAAAGUUAAAGCAGGUAACAAAUGCAAAUACCUGAAGUUCUGGACUGCUCUAAUAUCCCCUUUUGAGUUAGGGGAUAGCAAGAAAAUGUGGAAGAUUGGUUGAGAACUUCAUUUUGAUUCGUCUGUAGCUAUAUGACACAGUGGGAGAGAGAUUAUUUGCUUAGUUGUUUGAGCACUAGUAAGACUUGGCAGAUAGGUGCUUACAUGUUUUAAAAAAAAUUCCGUAACUUUUUAAGGAUUUGUUCGACUCCAAAUACAUAAUUGUUGUACACUCUUCGAUUUUAUGUCUUCAAUAUCAAGCUUAUCCCGUCUUAUUCCACAUCACUAUUAAUCUGUUCUAAAUCCUUUUGAUUUAGGUAUUGUUUUGAAAUGCUUUGAAUUGAUAUGUUUCAGUCUUGUAUCAUCAACCUUUUAACUGGGCAUAGGGGUUUAAAUGUUAUGUCUUAGUUCAGGGUUAUGUUAAAUCAGCAUAUUCAUUGACUUCAGCUUCUUUAAUUGUACUAACUUAGCUCUAUUUUGGUUGCGCAUCUGUAGAAUAAAGGAGAUAUGACAUAACUGCUGCUAAAUAUGUUCAUUAAAUUAUUUUUAAUCAACUAUAUGCUGAUGAUGUUUAAGAACUGUGAUUUGUAUAGCUCUUGGACAUGAUAAGUAUGAUGACUGACCAAAGCAUGUCUUUAUCUUGAAAAUAAUAUGACAUUUGACAAGCAUGUUGUGAAUUAAUCUAAUAAUUGAAAAUUUAUGAGUGAUAACAGUUAUUUCAUUGCUAUAUAUUAUGGGCACUUGCCUAUGGCCAAUGGCACCAAAAGAGCAUGUAAAGUCCUGUUAUAGAAGAAGUCCUAAUAAUAUACUUUCUAUCUACUAGAGCAACCAAAUACAUAUACUAAUACUAGUUUACAUAGUAUGUGAAGAGUAAUUUUCAAGACUCAAGAGAGUAUGAGCUAGGCUCAUGAAGUUUCUGAGCUUUAAAUAUUACGACUUCAAGAUGAACACUUUGUAGCUCAUAUCCUGGGAUACAUGAUCUAGUAAAGCUUCAAGUUUCUAUUAUUUUGUUCGUUACUCGCAAUAGACCUAAGUUUAACUUAUCUUCUAGGGUCUUUCAGCUAUUCUUAUAUUCGGAGGAAUUGCAAUGUUGCUUUCUUUUGUCUUAUAGAAUUAGAAGAGAUAUAUUUAAAAACUCUCUUCUCUGAUGCCCUUGAGUCUCUUCUCGCCAUGGAGGAUUCUGUCUUCGUUUCUUAUACAGUGACACAAUCAUACAAUGGUCUGAUUUUGUUUCAGAUGGUACUGAGAAUUAUUUAUCAUUUGUCAGUCCUGUAACAUCACUAAUUUUGUGCCUGAAACAUUGCAGUCUGAUUUCUUUUUCAACAAUCAAACAACUCCAACAAUUGUCUGCUUAAAUAUUGUUGUAACUUUCUCACGUUACCAAAACCAUAAAUCUUCAGACAAGUCUAAACUUGAAAUUCAACUAUUAUUUAAGAAAACAAAAAGCCAAUAGCAGUAGCAACCGAAUACUUAUAACUCCUCAUUUUGUUGAGCAGGAGACUUCCACUAACUGUGCUUUUAUUUGAUCACUUUCAGGCUCGACCUUUGCUUAGUAAUGCGCUUGAGAAAGAGGAAUUUGAUCAGUUGGCAGAUCCUCGCCUUGAGAAGAACUAUGUUGACAAUGAGAUGUUUCGGAUGAUUGAGGCCGCUGCAGCUUGUGUGCGUCACUCAGCUGCAAAGAGACCAGGGAUGGGACAGGUAACUUCUUUUACUUUACUGGAAACCAACGCACAAACAACCAUAAGUCUAUUUUUUUUUUUUAAUUCGAUCAUGCUUAUGGUUUUGCAGAUCAUGAGAGCUUUUGAUAGUAUGCUUAUGUCUGAUCUGACAAAUGGGAUGAAGGUUGGUGAAAGUGCAAUAUAUAACUCUGCAGAGCAAUCUGCGCAAAUAAGAUUGUUUCGGAGGAUGGCAUUUGCUAGUCAAGAUUUUAAUUCAGAUUUUUCCAGUCAAGGCAACCAUUACAGUAAAGAGUUAGCUGAUCAUUAUUAGAGGAUAUACUACAGAACAAAAUGGCCUGCUGAAGCAAGUAGAUGAUGAAUCUGUUAAUACAUCAAAGGCAGCUCAGCUGAGGUCUUGAUUAAGUUUUGUAAGUAGGUUCCUUUUACCGCUGGCAUACAUGUAGUCUGCAAUUUUUUCUGUAACUAACAGGAAACUUUUAUUGUCGUCUCCAACCAUUUUUUGAAACUAUUAUUCUUUCAAGAGUGAGUUUAUUUCCUCUCUUGUCCAAAACGGUCCCCCCCCCCCUCCCCCCGCCUUCGGAUACAUUUGAAAUUGGAAUGAUAAAGAGAGAUUAGCAUGGUACCUAGGCAAGGAUGACAUACACAAAUUGAGAAAUGGUCCCCUUCUUCUCCCUUGCUGCUUCCCAAAUCAACUUUCUCUUGGAAACAAAAUAGCAAAGUGAAAGCAAAACCAAAAAACAAGUUAUGAACGAGUGAAUGCAAUAUUAGACAACAGCAAUUUGGUGAUGGAUCUGCAAUAGCUUUGGAUAAGGUUCAACUUGAAGGAUUUCAUUUCAAUAAAUGCAAUGGUUUUUGGAUGGUGUUUGUAUGGUUGAAAAGCAAGGUGUACAGGAGAACAAGAAGUUGAUUAUGACCACAGAUCUUUAGACCAAUCUGUAUCCAAAACUGUUAACCUUCCAAGUUAGAACAGGCAAAGAAUAACUGAUCGUUAAUUCAUUUAAAAAUUAGUACAUUUAAAGAAUAAGGAAAUGUGAAGACUUGUUCUUUCACAAAAGAAGAAUUCCAAUGGCAACGUACACGAGUUAAAUUACCAAUAAAUAAGUUUGACAGAGAUAUUCCUAGACUGAUCUUUUCUUUUCAGGUUCUCUUUUCUUUUAUUUGAUUUAGUCAUGCUAGUGCUCGACAAUUAAAUGGACA
rnacentral:lncRNA from 1 species